rnacentral:rRNA from 1 species
AUUGAACGCUGGCGGCAGGCCUAACACAUGCAAGUCGAACGCGUGGCGGACGGGUGAGUAAUGUCUGUGAAAAUGCCUGAUGGAGGGGGAUAACUACUGGACACGGUAGCUAAUACCGCGUACCAUCAGAUGUGCACAGAUGGGAUUAGCUAGUAGGUGGGGUAACGGCUCACCUAGGCGACGAUCCCUAGCUGGUCUGAGAGGAUGACCAGCCACACUGGAACUGAGACACGGUCCAGACUCCUACGGGAGGCAGCAGUGGGGAAUAUUGCACAAUGGGCGCAAGCCUGAUGCAGCCAUGCCGCGUGUAUGAAGAAGGCCUUCGGGUUGUAAAGUACUUUCAGCGGGGAGGCGUUACCCGCAGAAGAAGCACCGGCUAACUCCGUGCCAGCAGCCGCGGUAAUUC